rnacentral:lncRNA from 1 species
UAGCAGGGCAAUUGAAGAAGUGUUGUACUCACACAAGUGAUGCAAUUCUUGUUAAGUGUGCUUAUGUUGCUACUGAUUUUCACACAAGAAGGGCGAUGCAGAUGGAUGUUAUUAGAAAGGUUUUUACUUCGAAUGUGCAUGGCUUGUCCACAUGGCUGAGAUUAGUUCUCAAUACUCACAUAAAGCUUUUCAUCCUCAAAAGGACUUUACAAGCUCCAGCCCUCAAAAUGCCCCCGCAAGAUUAUUGGGGUUUUUUUCAAGAAAUGAAUAUUUGCACAGGUAUGUCAGUUGAAUGA